ACAAGCUAUUCACAAGUUAAUUAAAUUUACAAUUGUGCUCACUUCUUUUCUUAUAGUUAAUCAUCGGAAAUUUAUUAUCUUAGUUUUAAUUUUAGUAAUCUCUCAACUCACAAAAAAUCUUAAUCCUUUGAAAAUCAUAAAGAUGUUGAUGGAAUACUUCGAAGAAGACGAAAGGAUUCACUUUGAUCCAACGUACUAAGAAGUCAUCAACGAUUAAUCUUAAACGUGAGCUAAGAUGUGAAGACUCCAGAAACUUCAUAGUGAUGAAGGAUGUUUAUGCCAAGGAGCCAUGGUUGCUUGACCAUUCCAACAAUUCUUUUUUCAAAGAAGACGAGUGGUACUACUUCUCGACAAGAACUCAAAUCUCCGAGAAGAAGAUUGGUCGUGGUAAGUAUUCAAAGGGGAGAUCACGGGAGACAACAACAAUGGCAUCGGCCGCGGGAAUUGGAGGGUGAAUGAGAAAGAAUAUAUCAUCGACAAGGACAUAGGGGAUAUCAUUGGGAUCAAGAAAAACCUAACAGAUAAGAGCGGCAACUAAACCAAUAAAUCAUGAUUCAACGAUUUGGUCGUACAAUUUGUCAAGUAUUUUAUCAUCUAUAUUUUAAAGUACCAUGCAGGAGAUAGCUUUUUGGGUUAUUGGUUUAUUGGUUGUGACUUGUGAUUUAAGCCA
rnacentral:sRNA from 1 species